UACGGGGGGGGCAAGCGUUGUUCGGAAUUACUGGGCGUAAAGGGCUCGUAGGUGGCCAACUAAGUCAGACGUGAAAUCCCUCAGCUUAACUGGGGAACUGCGUCUGAUACUGGAUGGCUUGAGUUUGGGAGAGGGAUGCGGAAUUCCAGGUGUAGCGGUGAAAUGCGUAGAUAUCUGGAGGAACACCGGUGGCGAAGGCGGCAUCCUGGACCAACACUGACACUGAUGAACGAAAGCCAGGGGAGCAAACGGG
rnacentral:rRNA from 1 species